AAUUAAGAAUUCACAAGUAUCAAUUCCCAAAAACUUCCGCAUUUUCUUCCCUCCUAAAAUGGCAGACGUUUCUCUCUUCUGCUCCCAAAUCAAACUGAGAAGAUUUGAUGAUUCUACACUGCGAAUUCUGGAGUUGAUUUUAUCAUCAAAGGACGUGAAAUUAUUGCUCGAAUUUCGAAGUGAAUUAAAAGAAUUUCUAAGGUCAGAAUCUUUGAUUGCCAUCCGCGAAGCUUCUGAGAAACCCGUUGAACAUAAGUUACUGAUUCUCGACUUCCUCGUUCGCGCUUUUGCCAUCGUCGAUGAUCUUGAGAGUUGCUUGGCUGUGAGAUAUGAAGGUUUGGUUCUGCGUGAUUCGUGGACUAUUAGUCAUCCGGAAUUACGAGUUUCAUGCAGUGAGUGGAUGAAGUUUGCUGAAGAUGCUUUUAACAAUGAAUUUUACUCUGUCACUGUGAAGGCAUGCGAAAACGCUCUUCUGUGUCUUAACGUGAAAGGUGAUUAUAAUUGUGACAACCUUUUUGAUACUACAUGGACCACCAAUAAGAUACAGAGACUUAAGGAUAUUGCUAUCAGAUUAUCUACUUGCCAUUCUGUUCAGGGGCAAACCACAGAGUACACGAGAAGGAAAACUUUGAGCAUUAAACAGUCUUCAUUUUCUAAAGAAGCAAAGUUUACUGCAAGUAUCUGCUUUAGAGAUGGGAUCAAGCAGCAGAACAUACGUAAUUUUUUACGUCUAAAAAAUCAGUAGCAUAAUCGAUCAGAUCCAUGCAUUUCAGAUUGCUGUUUGAAUUAGGAUAUCUUUCUUUCAUUGGGAACCUAUUAACAAAUUCUGGUUAAGCAGUUGGACUAUUGAGAAACUUUUUGUCUGUGCACGGGGUGAUUGAAUUUAUGAUGUUAUUUGCAUGACACGAUGCAUUUCCAUCCUGAAACUGCACGCGAAAUACGGAAAUACUUCCUCCGUCUUUUAAUACUCGCAACGUUUGUUAGUUUCACGCAUGCCGAUGCACAACUUUGAUCAUUUAUAUCUUAAAUUCUCUUUAUGCAAAAAUUAUAAAAAGUUGAUAUUUUGAAAAUAUACAUUGAGACGAAUCUAACAAGAUCCUACAUGACUAUGUUUUAUCUUAUAUAAAAAACAUUAUGAAUAGUCAAAGUAGAUUAUAUGAAUAGUGGCAAAAGUCCAAACGUUGCGAGUAUUAAAAGACGGAGGAAGUAAUUCUUAUGGAGUGUAACAUUAUGUGAAUAUAUGAUGCUUACCCUUUUUAUCUCAUCGAGUGCGUUCUAUUCAGUAUUUACCUUGUUUUCACUAGCUUAUUUGAACUUAUUUAAGGUCUGAAUUGAAUUUGGAUAAAAAAAAUUCUUGUUUUUUCUGAAAUAAAUAAAAAUAGGCGAAUCAUGUCUGUAUUUACCUAAUAUUAAACUUUUCAUAACUUGAGAAUGCCUUUUCGUAUGUAAAUAAGUACGUAAUAUUUGACUAUGCAUAAUAUUUAUUUAGUCUCUGCUUGUUUAGAGGUUAACAUGCAUAUAUCUAGACUUUUUAAGUUUCUAGAGUGCAUAAUCCACAUUGAGUGGUUAUUGUUGACCGAUUUAAAGUUCUUUCAAACUAGAUAAUAAUCAAUCAUUAGACAAAAAGAAUGUGUAAAAUAGGCAGGCGGCAAUCGUUUGGUAUCUUCCCGGAAGGUAACGAUAUAUAUCGCAACUUCCAGCCAAAACAAACCAUUCCCGAUGGUGUGAAAGUGGGUUGUGAAUUUGAAGUGUAAUGGUAUACCGGCCACAACCCGCCUUCGUAGCAAGUUAGGGGGGAAGACUAGAAGAGGGAUGUGCAAGCCUUGUGCAUGUGCAUCGUAGAGAAUUUUUGCCCAUAAUUUCCCACCAAUAAUCCAAUAUGAUGGAACAAUUUCAAGGGUAAUUGGGACGUGUAGGUUGCUUUUCCAUUAGACUCUUGUUAUAACCAAAUGCGUGCCACAAAUAAUUAGGAAUAAAUCGUGCAAAUACAAU